AACCUCCGCAAUGUGAGAAAUCGCGACGGGGGGAUCCCAAGUGCCAUUCUUAACGGGAUGGCUUUUCAUUAGUGUAAAGAGCUUUUGGAAUAAGAGCUGGGCAAGACCGGUGCCAGCCGCCGCGGUAACACCGGCAGCUCUAGUGGUAACAAUUUUUAUUGGGCCUAAAGCGUCCGUAGCCGGUUUAAUAAGUCUCUGGUGAAAUCCUGCAGCUUAACUGUGGGAAUUGCUGGAGAUACUAUUAGACUUGAGACCGGGAGAGGUUAGAGGUACUCCCAGGGUAGAGGUGAAAUUCUGUAAUCCUGGGGAGGCCGCCUGUUGCGAAGGCGUCUAACUGGAACGGUUCUGACGGUGAGGGACGAAAGUUAGGGGCGCGAACCGGAUUAGAUACCCGGGUAGUCCUAACUGUAAACGAUGCGGACUUGGUGUUGGGGUGGCUUUGAGCCGCUUCAGUGCCGAAGGGAAGCUGUUAAGUCCGCCGCCUGGGAAGUACGGUCGCAAGACUGAAACUUAAGGAAUU
rnacentral:rRNA from 1 species